UACAGAGAGUGCAAGCGUUAAUCGGAAUUACUGGGCGUAAAGCGCACGUAGGUGGAUACUUAAGUCGAAUGUGAAAGCCCCGGGCUUAACCUGGGAAUUGCAUCCGAUACUGGGUGUCUUGAGUAUGGUAGAGGGAAGUGGAAUUUCCGGUGUAGCGGUGAAAUGCGUAGAUAUCGGAAAGAACACCAGUGGCGAAGGCGGCUUCCUGGACUAAUACUGACACUGAGGUGCGAAAGCGUGGGGAGCAAACAGG
rnacentral:rRNA from 1 species